GGUCCUAUAGUGUAGUGGUUAUCACUUCGGAUUUUGAUGUCAAAUCCUCAUCUUUCCGACAACCGCCGUUCGAAUCUGCGUAGGACCU